rnacentral:rRNA from 1 species
GGGAUUGCCCUAGUAACGGCGAGUGAAGCGGCAACAGCUCAAAUUUGAAACCUGGCGCUUGCGUCCGGAUUGUAAUUUGUAGAGGAUGCUUCUGGGCAGCGGCCGUUCUAAGUUCCUUGGAACAGGACGUCAUAGAGGGUGAGAAUCCCGUAUGUGACCGGCGCGCACCCUCCACGUAGCUCCUUCGACGAGUCGAGUUGUUUGGGAAUGCAGCUCUAAAUGGGAGGUAAAUUUCUUCUAAAGCUAAAUAUUGGCCAGAGACCGAUAGCGCACAAGUAGAGUGAUCGAAAGAUGAAAAGCACUUUGGAAAGAGAGUUAAAAAGCACGUGAAAUUGUUGAAAGGGAAGCGCUUCCAACCAGACUCCGCGGCGGUGUUCCGCCGGUCUUUUGACCGGUCCACUCGCCGCCGUGGGGCCAACAUCGUCUGGGGCCGCUGGAUAAGACCGGAGGAAUGUAGCUCAUUGAGUGUUAUAGCCUCCGGUGAUGCGGCGCGUCCCGGGCGAGGUCCGCGCUUCGGCAAGGAUGUUGGCGUAAUGGUUGGCAGCGGCCCGUCUUGAAACACGGACCAAGGAGUCUAACAUCUAUGCGAGUGUUCGGGUGUCAAACCCCUACGCGUAAUGAAAGUGAACGGAGGUGGGAGCUUCGGCGCACCAUCGACCGAUCCUGAUGUCCUCGGAUGGAUUUGAGUAAGAGCAUAGCUGUUGGGACCCGAAAGAUGGUGAACUAUGCCUGAAUAGGGUGAAGCCAGAGGAAACUCUGGUGGAGGCUCGCAGCGGUUCUGACGUGCAAAUCGAUCGUCAAAUUUGGGUAUAGGGGCG